rnacentral:misc_RNA from 1 species
AAGGCUUGACAUGAACCGGUAAGACCUGUUUCCAGGUCUUACCGGUUCAUGUCAAGCCUUGGUAAGGUUCUUCGCGUUGCAUCGAAUUAAUCCGCAUGCUCCGCCGCUUGUGCGGGCCCCCGUCAAUUCCUUUGAGUUUUAGCCUUGCGGCCGUACUCCCCAGGCGGGGCACUUAAUGCGUUAGCUACGGCGCGGAAAACGUGGAAUGUCCCCCACACCUAGUGCCCAACGUUUACGGCAUGGACUAC